rnacentral:rRNA from 1 species
CCUACGGGAGGCAGCAGUGGGGAAUAUUGCACAAUGGGGGAAACCCUGAUGCAGCGACGCCGCGUGAAGGAAGAAGUAUUUCGGUAUGUAAACUUCUAUCAGCAGGGAAGAAAAUGACGGUACCUGACUAAGAAGCCCCGGCUAACUACGUGCCAGCAGCCGCGGUAAUACGUCGGGGGCAAGCGUUAUCCGGAUUUACCGGGGGUAAAGGGGGCGUAGGCGGCGAUGCAAGUCAGAAGUGAAAGCUCGGGGCUCAACUCCGGGAGUGCUUUUGAAACUGUGUUGCUAGAUUGCAGGAGAGGUAGGUGGAAUUCCUGGUGUAGCGGUGAAAUGCGUAGAUAUUAGGAGGAACCC